rnacentral:rRNA from 1 species
GACAGGUGGUGCAUGGUUGUCGUCAGCUCGUGUCGUGAGAUGUUGGGUUAAGUCCCGCAACGAGCGCAACCCUUAUUGUUAGUUGCCAUCAUUCAGUUGGGCACUCUAGCGAGACUGCCGGUAAUAAACCGGAGGAAGGUGGGAUGACGUCAAAUCAUCAUGCCCCUUAUGACCUGGGCUACACACGUGCUACAAUGGUUGGUACAACGAGUUGCGAGUCGGUGACGGCGAGCUAAUCUCUUAAAGCCAAUCUCAGUUCGGAUUGUAGGCUGCAACUCGCCUACAUGAAGUCGGAAUCGCUAGUAAUCGCGUAUCAGCGCGACGCGGUGAAUACGUUCCCGGGCCUU